AUACGGAGGAUCCGAGCGUUAUCCGGAUUUAUUGGGUUUAAAGGGUGCGCAGGCGGGAGAUUAAGUCGGCGGUGAAAUUUUGCAGCUCAACUGUAAAAGUGCCUUCGAAACUGGUUUUCUUGUGUGUAGAUGAAGUAGGCGGAAUUUGGGGGGUAGCGGUGAAAUGCAUAGAAAUCACGAGGAACUCCGAUUGCGCAGGCAGCUUACUAAACUACUACUGACGCUCAGGCACGAAGGCGUGGGGAUCAAACAGGAUUAGAUACCCUGGUAGUCCACGCAGUAAACGAUGAUUACUAGCUGUUUGCGAUACAAUGUAAGCGGCUGAGCGAAAGCGUUAAGUAAUCCACCUGGGGAAUACGUUCGCAAGAAUGAAACUCAAAGGAAUUGACGGGG
rnacentral:rRNA from 1 species